ACAAAUAAUUUUUUUAAAAAAUUAAUUUCGGCUUAAUUUAAAGUAAUAUUUACUUAUUUGUG
rnacentral:tRNA from 1 species